AUUUUGUCUAUUAAACGUCAUUAAUCCUGUCAAAUACCAAAUAAUAAUUUUGAUAAAAGAUUACUAGUGAAACUAAAAAAACAGAAAUUUUUAAAAUGUGCAGUCCAGUAUUAAAUUUACCAGACUAUAAGGAACCCAGACCUUGUAUGCCAUGCUAUCCAGUAUAUGGCCCACCAUGUCUACCGUGUGGGAUAGACCCGGUUACCCUGCGACGACCACUUAUUGUCCACGACAGCACCUUCGACUACCGUCCCACAAGCUGGCCGGGAAUGCUGCUCAACAACCAGGAUAAGAAAAUCAGAUACCAACUCAUCAACUACGAGCGACCGUGUACUUCCCACUAUCCAUCGUGUGCCCCGUCGUAUAACUAACAGCUUGUUAUCACAAUAUACUAAUGUAAAUACUUUUCACGAUGUGCAACAGAAUGGAUCUUAUAAAUAAACUGCAGUCGAUAGCUUCAGCAAUUCAGUGCGACCAGUGCUGCGGCCCUCCCUGCUGUCCACCUCGGCCGUCGUGCUGCGGAGCUGGUGGAUCCCUCGUCACUGUUUACAGUCAAGUAGCCCAUAUCCAGUGACGCGCUGAGUCGUGCUUCACCCUUUUUACUAUCGCUCAAUGCUAUACUCGCUGUCGGACAGCCUCCGCGGCCAGUUGCAGCGUUCGAUAAAGCUGUGAUAAAGAUUGGACAUUAAUCGCAAACAAGACCUACUUGAUUUGUUAUUUAUGUAAUUGUGAAGUGAGUUCUGUAACGUGAAAUUUUAGUGAUAAAAGUGUUGUUUUGGUCCU